UACGUAGGUGGCAAGCGUUGUCCGGAUUUACUGGGCGUAAAGAGCGCGCAGGCGGUCGGAUUAGUCGCGUGUGAAAGCCCCCGGCUCAACUGGGGAGGGUCACGCGAUACUGUUCGACUCGAAGGCAGGAGAGGGAAGUGGAAUUCCCGGUGUAGUGGUGAAAUGCGUAGAUAUCGGGAGGAACACCAGUGGCGAAGGCGACUUCCUGGACCGACACUGACGCUGAGGCGCGAAAGCUAGGGGAGCAAACGGG
rnacentral:rRNA from 1 species